CAGCUCUGGAGGAAGCGGAAGCGUGACGGGGCUUCUGGCUGAUUUCUACAUGUCCUUCCUCUCUGGGCCUGACUGGUCCCAAAGGUCACUCUGGAUCUCAAUAGCUGGUCCAGGGCAGGGGCUAAGGGGCCUGGCCUCUGGAGCCCUCGGCUUUCCCAUUUCACCCGUCUCGAAACCGCGGUGAACUACGGGGGCUUUGUGAAUUGCACUGUGCUGUUCUCGUUCACACGCAUCCGCAUCUUUAAUCAACAGGCAAAUCUGCCAACCUUAGAAGCUGACCACAUUCCUGGGACCAUGGUGCACUCCUUCCAUUGUCAAAAUCAGCAACAUGUGGCCAAGUUCUUCUCCUGCUAUCCUGUCCCUGGUCCUCUUCUCUGCCUCUCUAAUCCACUUUUAAUGAUUCUUUGGAUUAUGUUGGGUUAAUCUGAGUAAUUCUGGGUCAGGAACCAAGUUCUACAGCUGGUUCUAUGUCUUGCUGGGUCCAUGUUUCUGCUGCUCCCCCAUCUCCACCUUCUCUGCCUUGACUCAGAGCUCACUGUUGCUCCUGCUGGAGUUGGUCUCCUACCUACAUUCUGAACCUUCCCUAAUAAAUCUUUCCCACUACUCAGGUGGGACCUCGUCACUUGGGGCCUGCCCUCAGUAGGUCCCUGUUUUCUGUGUCGCCGUCUUCUGUUUGUCUGGCUUUCUCUCCUCCUAGAGGUGCGAGCUCCUUCUUCCCCAGCACUCAGUGCCAGGCCUGGUGCCCACUGGAUGCUCCAUAAAUAUUUGUU